rnacentral:rRNA from 1 species
GCGAACGCUGGCGGCAGGCUUAACACAUGCCAGUCGAGCGCCCCGCACGGGGAGCGGCAGACGGGUGAGUAACACGUGGGAACGUACCCUUUGGUUCGGAACAACCCAGGGAAACUUGGGCUAAUACCGGAUAAGUCCGCGAGGAGAAAGAUUUAUCGCCGAAGGAUCGGCCCGCGUCUGAUUAGCUAGUUGGUGUGGUAACGGCGCACCAAGGCGACGAUCAGUAGCUGGUCUGAGAGGAUGAUCAGCCACACUGGGACUGAGACACGGCCCAGACUCCUACGGGAGGCAGCAGUGGGGAAUAUUGGACAAUGGGGGCAACCCUGAUCCAGCCAUGCCGCGUGAGUGAUGAAGGCCCUAGGGUUGUAAAGCUCUUUCGGUGGGGAAGAUAAUGACGGUACCCACAGAAGAAGCCCCGGCUAACUUCGUG